GAACUUCACCUGUGUCGACUAUUUUGUUGAUACAACUGCAUUAGCUGCUAUUAUCAAUACAAGUUUUCAUUGUUAGAGAGCUGGUGAGGCUGACGUCACGUCCAUUCCUUGAAGUGGAGCUGAAUAAACCUUGAGCAGAGUCUCCUUCAAUCUGCUGGUAGUAACUAACACACAUACGCACGGAGACUCAAUUACUGCCCAGUUCCACUCUUGAUCAUCUCCAGCUACCGGUCUAAAACAACACCUAUUUCUCAAUAUCAAGAAAAAGAAAAAAAAAAAAAACAUCAGGCUAUAUGAAGACAUAAAAGAGUCCAACGGAGUACAUAACGUCAGAUACAUACAACUGUCAACAUAAGUUUGCAGGAGGGCAGUGAUGUCACAGAGCUGAGGGCUUUCUGGAACAUGGAUGUGGAGUUUCCUCUGGAGUCUUCAUUCCUUCUCAUUAUAAAUGCAAAUUCCCCCCACAUUAAGAAAAUCUGUGUUGUUUAAGGUUACACAGGGUUAUAUUACUCGAGGAUAAU